GAGUUUGAUCCUGGCUCAGAACGAACGCUGGCGGCGUGCCUAACACAUGCAAGUCGAACGUGAUCCAGAGCUUGCCCUGGUGAAAGUGGCGCACGGGUGAGUAACGCGUGGAUAACCUACCCUGGUAUCCGGGAUAACAUUCCGAAAGGGGUGCUAAUACCGGAUAAGCCCACGGGCUCUUUGGAGCUUGCGGGAAAAGGUGGCCUCUAUUUAUAAGCUACUGUAUCAGGAUGGGUCCGCGUACCAUUAGCUAGUUGGCGGUGUAACGGACCACCAAGGCGACGAUGGUUAGCUGGUCUGAGAGGAUGAUCAGCCMCACUGGAACUGAGACACGGUCCAGACUCCUACGGGAGGCAGCAGUGGGGAAUUUUGCGCGAUGGGGGAAACCCUGACGCAGCAACGCCGCGUGAGUGAUGAAGGCCUUUGGGUCGUAAAGCUCUGUCAGAGGGGAAGAAAUGAUAUGGUGCUAGUACCACUUUAUCUUGACGGUACCCUCAAAGGAAGCACCGGCUAACUCCGUGCCAGCAGCCGCGGUAAUAC
rnacentral:rRNA from 1 species